GACGUGCUGCAGACAGGAAGGAGGAGGAGAGAGGGAGGGAGAACAAGGGAGACAGACAAAGAAGAACAGGAAGGGCGGAGAAGGUGCCGCGCACCACAGGAAGUCAGAGAUCGAGAUGAAAGUGGCGAUCGAUAGAGUGAUGUUGAGAGAAAGCAACGCACAGAGAAUGGACUAGAACAAUGUUCACACCAAACACGCACGGCUUUAAGUUCUAAUGGAAAAUCUAGAGGGAGUUUACUCUCCCGAGGCAACUUGGGAACACCUGUCGGCUGCUUUUCUGAACAUACUCUACAUUCCAAUGGAAUCCCAGUUGCCGAACGCCUAACCCUAUACCUGGAUCUCCUCGAUGCUGUGGACGAUAAACAUGUCCUGCAGAUCCUCCAUCGCUCCAUCCAUCCAGUUAUUAAAGGGCGCCGCCCUCUUGGCAAACUCCAGCUCCUGGGCGAUGCUGGCGAUCUGCUCCAGUCUGUCCUGGUGGGCGGUGAGGUCGCUCUCGAAUGCUUCGUGCUUCCUCACGAGGAUGCGGACUUCGGCCAGUGAGGCGUGCUCAAAGUCCCUCUGUGUCAGAACCUCC